AGGCAUGCUCUAUAGGCAUCAGGGAAAAGGUUAUAGUCUGCUGAAAGUCAUUUCUCUAUCCAUAUGUGUAUAUCAUUAAUGCAUAUGAAGGUAUGAGAAUUGUGUUGCAUGGUUGUCACUAAAGCAUGCUGUAAAUUGGGGAAUAAGCCAAACAUUAGCUCCCCAGAGGCAAGGGCAAGAAAAGUAGCCA